rnacentral:rRNA from 1 species
UCGGGAAUUUUGGGCAAUGGGCGCAAGCCUGAUCCAGCCAUGCCGCGUGGAUGAUGAAGGCCUUAGGGUUGUAAAAUCCUUUCGUUGGGGACGAUAAUGACGGUACCCAAAGAAGAAGCUCCGGCUAACUUCGUGCCAGCAGCCGCGGUAAUACGAAGGGGGCUAGCGUUGUUCGGAUUUACUGGGCGUAAAGCGCGUGUAGGCGGAUUUGUAAGUUGGGGGUGAAAUCCCGAGGCUCAACCUCGGAACUGCCUCCAAAACUACAAGUCUGGACCUAAGUAGAGGCAAGUGGAAUUGCGAGUGUAGAGGUGAAAUUCGUAGAUAUUAGGAAGAACACCAGUGGCGAAGGCGGCCAACUGGCUCGAUACUGACGCUGAGGUGCGAAAGCGUGGGGAGCAAACAGGAUUAGAUACCCGAGUAGUCCCUGAGCGGGCUGGCAAGGCGCAU